UGAGGUGCGGGUGCCUCCUCUCCUUGCGUGCCGCAUGCUCGUCGCACAGUUUGCGGGGGUGUGGGGCAGGUCGUGCCCUCGAAACCCCGUCGGGCAAUCCCCUCGCCUUCACGCCACACCCCUCCCCACCUCCCUCCUCGAUCUCUCUCCACAGCACGAAGCCACGAACCCUAGCCCCCUCCCUCUCCCUCGCGUGUGCCGGUGUGCGUGAGUAAUAUGGCGGCGGCAGGGCUGGUGACCAUCAGAGGAUGCCAUGUGCUAGCUGGGGUGUUCCACGGUGAGGAACGACCGCGCUGGACGCUGUCCUACCCAGCCACACAUGGUUUUUCACGCAGAUCAAAUCUGCCAUGGUAAGGAGGGCCAAGAUCUGGACAGUGCGCCUCAACCACGCCUUCGUCUUCCACCUGCUUGCUGAUAGAGAGAUAGCAGCAGUGGUAGGAGGAGCCUGGGCGGAGAGGGGAGAAGUGGGCAAGGGGGUGCAGAGCCAGGAGGUGGGGGUCGCCGGGUGAGCACAGCCGCACAGGGCCUGGUGCCGCCGCUGACAGAGCAGAGUGGCGGACCACAAGGGGGUGCGAUGGGGUGGCCGAGAGAGCAUGGCAUCCGGCGAGACAGGCGGCUCCCAAGCAGGGAAUGCAGCGGCGCUGGCCUCUCCUCUCCCUGCCUGCCGCUAUCCUGUGUCGUCACUGCCGCUGUUGUCCUGCGUCGUCACUGAUGUCCCCAAGUGCUUCUCUCCACAAAUGGUGCCACCAUGUCCAGAUCAAGUCAAGCGCCAGGUGCAGGAAAAUAGAACACGUGCACUUAACUUGUUUGAGGAAAUUCCAUCUCGAAACAAGAUUUGAUUAGGACUUGUGUUCUUGAUGCUCUAUCUGUGGCUAACUCACUACAACAGCACAGAUGUAAAGGGAAUCCAUUGUAAGAAACACAGGUAAAAAGGCAUUUUCCUUGUUCUUACAGUUUUGGAUCAAAGUUCACAUUUACCUUGAGUGUCUCUUUUUUUGGUAUAAAAUGGAUUCAACAACCAAUUUUAUCUGAAGACCAAACUAUCAGUAAGGAAGUGCAAACUGAGAGAAGUGGGCAAAAUAACUUGAGCAAAGAACUAAUUCUAUGAAAUGCUACUUUCCAGUGAUUUGUUGUGGCCUGUUAAUUUUUCAGUAGGGAGCUUGAAGUUUUAAUGCAGAUAGGAAGUUUCAUUUUUAUUCUUAUCCACAGGCUUGCUAAAUUUACAUUUUUAAUUUCAUUUCUUUCUGGAAAGAGGCAACCUUAAACAAUUUGAUUUUUUUUACCAGAAUCCCUCUAAAACCAACCAACAACAAAUAUGAAAUGGCAUUGCAUUGUUAUAUCAGUGGUAAGUUCAUAUGCAUAUUCUCCGUUUCUCUGGAAUUGGUCGAAAGUGUUUCUUCUGCUAUUGAUUCAAUCACUAGGCUUGUUGCCUUUGUUGCUGAAUUUUGCAUUGCUACUGGAAGACACUGCAUUGUUGAAGGAGUCCAUUGGGGACUGGAGUCAAUGGCCUACAACAUGGGCAGGCACGUGCGCUUCAUGAUUGUUGUUGGUUAACUGAGAGUAUAUGAUGCUUCGAAGAAAUGAUGUGCAUAAUUCAGACUAAAUCUUGCUGGUGGCAGUGAGGAGUUUCUUUGGCUGCAGCACUUCGAUUCUUUCUCAUUGUCAAAUUUUGUUCAGCUUUUCUUCUCAUAUUUUUUGUUUGUUUCGGUGUGCUAUGUGCAUCUUGCUGGUGACCCAUGCAUUAGUCAUGCCUCCCCGUUCUGCUGUCCAUAGAAAUAUUUUUUCUCUUCAUCACCUCUGACUUUUAUUAGCUCGAGCCUUUGUAAGAGGAAGUAUACGAUCUGUUCUGUCAGCUUUAGAUUCUUAUAGAUUACCCAGGUGUUGUUUAUGGAUCGGAGUCAUUAGUUCAUGCCUAUAUUUGAAAAAAAAUCUAUAUGUGCAAAGAACUGCAUUAUUCAUGCUGACAUUACAUUUCUCUUUUUCGGACUGGCCUACUAAUGGUAGCCUCACUUCUUCUCCGCAUAGAAAUUAUCUUGAGGAAGUUUUAAGUACUAAAUUGAAAUAGUACUUUGGUGUGUACUCAAAGAAGAGGCUACCAUAUUAUUUGUUCUUACUUACGGUGGUAGCUUCUUCUCUGUGUAGAAAUUAUCUUGACGCAACUAAGGAAGACAUUGGUCAGGUCCAUCGACAUUGUCGGAGUUGUCACUUUAUUGCAGUGUCUUAUUUUCAGAUCUCAUGUUCCUCAAGAGGCUUGCUCUCACCUCUCAGUACUGCUCUAGACAGGGAACGUUGAUGACUCCAUACAGUUUCUCCAGGAUGGCAAUUUCCACCUGGAAAAGCAUCAAGGUCGGUGAUCCAAUCUGUGUUAUAUAGGAAUCUCUUCUUCGAUUGAGGCAUGGCAGCAGAUGAUGCAUCUGUUAUAUGUGUGCCAGAAGGGGGAUCCGGUUGCUUGAUUCUGUAUGCACAUUCUGUAAAUAAAACUAUGGAAUGCAGCUUUGAAAUUGUGUUCUCUGUGAUCUCCCUGCCAAACAAUAUAUUAUCUUCUGGUUCUUUAAUCUUUGUUAUACAACCUAUAACUAUCCAAUAUAUUCUUUGUAAACCAACUCAAAAGCUGUGAAACGAUGACCACGUCUGCUAAGACAAUCUUGAUAUA